CAGGGUAUAAUGAUUGGAUACAAGCCUGAAGAAUCAUCAACCACUGUGAGAAAGCCAAGUGCAGCAACUCCUGCCCCAACCCUGGUGAGGCAGGAUGGUAAGGAGGAAGCACUUUGGGGAUCUUGUUGGUACCAGCAAACCUGUGCUGAGCUCUGCAGCCAUCCCAUAUGUGGGUGAGAACAAAGGCCUUCCUUCCCCCAAGGCCAAAGUUUGCUGUGCCUGACAAAGCAGUUUAAAGGAGGAAGGGUUACCACGGCUCACACUCUGAGGCUACCAUCUACAAAGAACAUGAAGUAGCUGGUCACAUGGUGUCCGCAGUCAGGAAGCUGAAAGAGAUGCAUGCUGGGACAGAGAACUCAUCAAGUCCUUCCGCGCCCCUGAGUGUUGUGUGUCACUCAAAGACCUUGAGACUCAUGCUCCCUUGUGUGGUGACUCCAGGGGCCCCUCCUACCCACCAUCCCUGUCUAAGUCAGCUUACGUGCCCUCCCUCACCUUGGGAGUGCGUGGGUCUCCCUGCCUACUCUGCCUAGAGGACGCCUGCUGCAAUGCCCACUUGCUCAGGGACAGGCUUCUCCACAGAACUCCAGAGCCAGGAUAAAUUUCUUAUCCCACAGCUAAGAGCCGAUGUUGAUUCCAGAUCGAAUAAAUGAGAUUAUAAAGCCAUAUAGGAGGCUCGUCACG